rnacentral:rRNA from 1 species
GAUGAACGCUAGCGGGAGGCUUAACACAUGCAAGUCGAGGGGUAACAGGGUUUUCGGACCGCUGACGACCGGCGCACGGGUGAGUAACGCGUAUGCAACCUACCCAUCACAAAGGGAUAGCCCUAAGAAAUUGGGAUUAAUACCUUAUAGUUUUUGAUAAUCGCAUGAUUUUCAAAAUAAAACUCAGGUGGUGAUGGAUGGGCAUGCGUGACAUUAGAUAGUUGGUAAGGUAACGGCUUACCAAGUCUACGAUGUCUAUGGGGUCUUAAAGGAUGGUCCCACACACUGGUACUGAGACACGGACCAG